AACGAACGCUGGCGGCAGGCUUAACACAUGCAAGUCGAACGCCCCGCAAGGGGAGUGGCAGACGGGUGAGUAACGCGUGGGAAUCUACCCAGUUCUACGGAAUAACACAGGGAAACUUGUGCUAAUACCGUAUACGCCCUACGGGGGAAAGAUUUAUCGGAAUUGGAUGAGCCCGCGUAAGAUUAGCUAGUUGGUGAGGUAAUGGCUCACCAAGGCGACGAUCUUUAGCUGGUCUGAGAGGAUGAUCAGCCACACUGGGACUGAGACACGGCCCAGACUCCUACGGGAGGCAGCAGUGGGGAAUAUUGGACAAUGGGCGCAAGCCUGAUCCAGCCAUGCCGCGUGAGUGAUGAAGGCCUUAGGGUUGUAAAGCUCUUUCAGUAGGGAAGAUAAUGACGGUACCUACAGAAGAAGCCCCGGCUAACUUCGUGCCAGCCGCCGCCGUAACAC
rnacentral:rRNA from 1 species